UCUCAGUUCGGAUUGUAGUCUGCAACUCGACUACAUGAAGCUGGAAUCGCUAGUAAUCGCAGGUCAGCAUACUGCGGUGAAUACGUUCCCGGGUCUUGUACACACCGCCCGUCACACCAUGGGAGCCGGAAAUGCCCGAAGCCAGUGACCCAACCUUAGGGAGGGAGCUGUCGAAGGUGGAGCCGGUAACUGGGGUGAAGUCGUAACAAGGUAAC
rnacentral:rRNA from 1 species